rnacentral:rRNA from 1 species
AGUCGAACGGCAGCACGGACUUCGGUCUGGUGGCGAGUGGCGAACGGGUGAGUAAUGUAUCGGAACGUGCCUAGUAGCGGGGGAUAAUCACGCGAAAGCGUAGCUAAUAAUGUACGCUGGCCCUUCGGGGGAAAGCGGGGACCUUUCAAAUUCCGCACUAUUAGAGCGGGCUGAUAUCGGAUUAGCUAGUUGGUGGGCAAUGGCUCAUCAAGGCGACGAUCCGUACACAGGAGGACGACCAGCCACACUGGGACUGGUGACACGGCCCAGACUCCUACGGAGGCAGCAGUGGGGAAUUUUGGACAAUGGGGAAAAUCCCCGAUCCAGCCAUCCCGCGUGUGGGUGCGAUGAAGGCCUUCGGGUUGUGGUAAAAGCACUUUGGCAGAAAGAAACGGCACGGAGCAAAAUACCCCCGUGCAACUGACGGUACCUGCGCAUUGGGCACCGGCUAACUACGUGCCAGCAGCCGCGGUAAUACGUAGGGUGCAAGCGUUAAUCGGAAUUACUGGGCGCGAAGCGUGCGCAGGCGGUUCGGAAAGAAAGAUGUGAAAUCCCAGAGCUUAACUUUGGAACUGCAUUUUUAACUACUGAGCUAGAGUGUGUCAGAGGGAGGUGGAAUUCGCGUGGGCAGUGAAUAUGAUAUGCGGAGGAACACCGAUGGCGAAGGCAGCCUCCCUGGGAUAACACUGAUGCUCACGCACGAAAGCGUGGGGAGCAAACAGGAUUAGAUACCCUGGUAGUCCACGCCCUAAACGAUGUCAACUAGCUGUUGGGGCCUUCGGGUACCCGCAGUAGCGCAGCUAACGGUGAAGUUGACCGCCUGGGGAGUACGGUCGCAAGAUUAAAACUCAAAGGAAUUACGUAUUCCGCACAAGCGGUGUGGAUGAUGUGGAUUAAUUCGAUGCAACGCGAAAAACCUUACCUACCCCUUACAUGUCUGGAAUCCCGAAGAGAUUUGGGAGUGCUGCAAGAGAACCGGAACACAGGUGCUGCAUGGCUGUCGUCAGCUCGUGUCGUGAGAUGUUGGGUUAAGUCCCGCAACGAGUGCAACCCUUGUCAUUAGUUGCUACGAAAGGGCACUCUAACGAGACUGCCGGUGACAAACUGGAGGAAGGUGGGGAUGACGUCAAGUCCUCAUGGCCCUUAUGGGUAGGGCUUCUCACACGUCAAUGGUCGGGACAGAGGGUCGCCAACCAUGAGGGGGAGCCAAUCCCAGAAACCCGAUCGUAGUCCGGAUCGCAGUCUGCAACUCGGCUGCGUGAAGUCGGAAUCUCCAGUAAUCGCGGAUCAGCAUGUCGCGGUGAAUACGUUCCCGGGUCUUGUGCUACACACCGCCCGUCACAAUCAUGGGAGUGGGUUUUUACCAGAAGUAGUUAGCCUAACUCGUAUGAGGGCGAUUACCACGGUAGGAUUCAUGACUGGGGUGAAGUCGUACUACAGUAGCUCUAGCAUUACCUGAUGCUCCUUA